CCAGUUACAUACAUGCAGUAGGCCUUAUCAUAGAUUGCCUGUUUCAUUUCACCAGAAGCUUUAUACUCAUCAAGAUGUUCUUCACAAGCCUCAGCUACAAAUUCCUUAAACUCAGAAGAGUCUUUGUAGUCCUGAAGAUGAGCUUCACAGGCCUGCUCAAUUUUAACCUUCAGCUCAUCAGACUCCUGAUACUCUGCUAUAUACUGUUCACGCUUUUGCUGAGCCUUCCCUUCGGCAUACUUUACCACCUUGAGCAGGGCUAAACAUUUACGUUCCAAAGCCCUGACUUCAUUUUUUAGCUGUUGUUGGCGAAGGUUGAACUCUUCAGCCGAUGAAGACAGAUCUUUGAUACGUUCAGAACUUGUGCCCAAUUCCUG
rnacentral:lncRNA from 1 species